rnacentral:rRNA from 1 species
CGCGUAGGUAACCUGCCUGGUAGCGGGGGAUAACUAUUGGAAACGAUAGCUAAUACCGCAUAAGAGUAGAUGUUGCAUGACAUUUGCUUAAAAGGUGCAAUUGCAUCACUACCAGAUGGACCUGCGUUGUAUUAGCUAGUUGGUGGGGUAACGGCUCACCAAGGCGACGAUACAUAGCCGACCUGAGAGGGUGAUCGGCCACACUGGGACUGAGACACGGCCCAG